UACAGAGGUCUCAAGCGUUGUUCGGAUUCAUUGGGCGUAAAGGGUGCGUAGGUGGGUUGGUAAGUCCGUGGUGAAAUCUCCGAGCUUAACUCGGAAACUGCCGUGGAUACUAUCAAUCUUGAAUACUGUGGAGGUAAGCGGAAUAUGUCAUGUAGCGGUGAAAUGCUUAGAUAUGACAUAGAACACCGAUAGCGGAGGCAGCUUGCUACACAGUCAUUGACACUGAGGCACGAAAAGCGUGGGGGAUCAAACAGG
rnacentral:rRNA from 1 species